AGCUCAGCUGGCAGAGCACCUGACUCUUAAUCAGGGUGUCCAGGGUUCGAACCCCUGA
rnacentral:tRNA from 1 species